CCCGCCGCAGCUUCGGAGUACGCGCCGGGAACGCCUUGGUAGGCCACGCGCAGCUGCGAGCCGUGCAUCGGCGCCGGCAAGAGGUCGGAGAUCGUGAGUGGCUUCGGCGGAAUCGGCUUGAUGUUUUCACCAUCGGCUUUGACAGGUACGAUAUUUAGAUUCGUUACGGCGGCGUUAUGGCCGUUCACGUCGCCGACGUUGUUGUCGUGGUCGUCGCCGUCGGCGGGAGAAUCUUCCCGCUGCGACACGACCUUACUGGCUAAGAUGGCGCACGAGCUUUGCCAAUCGGCUCGGCUCGCGCCGAGUCCCUGCGAGAAACUCGCGGAUUCGAAGCCGUAACCGCAUUUGACUGUGAAACGGGUCGGAGCGACCCGAAUGACCGAGUGACGCGCCCGGGUGAGAUAGUUGAGAGGGUUGGGGUACGGUGGGGUGAGGGUCUGCAUAUUAAAGGACUUAAAUGGAAUUAAUUAAGAAGAAAAAUUAGGGUUGGAAAGGGGAAUUUAGUUGCCUAUUGGUACUAGUACUGCUUGAAUUUGCUGAUUGGGGCUCUGGUCUGAAGCUUGAUGUUCGUUCUCUUUGAAGUGGGAACGUCGUCAAGCUGAGAGAAGACAGGGAAGGGUUAAAGGGUUUAUAUAUUGGUUGGUUGGUUAAGGAUUUUGAGGAGGAAAUGGAACAUGACAAAUCUUGAGAAUGGUGUGUGCGUUAAGGAGGUUCGGUCAAUCCCACACCUACCCCCUUCUCUUUCCAUCUCUAACAUUGCAUACGGACAUAGAUAUUUAUUAUUAUUAUUUUAUUGUAUCUAUAAUUAAUGGUAGUAGUAUUUUUAUUUUGGUGUUGAGUAUUGUUGUCAUUCAAGAAUUUCUCCCUGGGCCAUGAUUAAUUUCUGUUUUUAAAAUUUGAUUUUAGUUUUUUAAUAAACAGAAGAGUUAAAAAUGUGCUUGGUGAACUGGGUUUCUUCUUCUUCUUUUUUUCAUCUAGAACUUGGUAUCUUCUCGUCAGAAUUGAAAACUAAAUAACUAAUUUUUUUAAAAUAACAAAAUUCAUUUAAAGAUUUAACAUUUUUCAAUAUGUUACUCAAUAUUCAUGGACAUGAGGAUUGAAUCCUUAUCAAAUUCUUAAAAAGUUAAAAAAGGAUGAUUAUUUAUCAACCAUUCUAUUCUCUUUCUCCCAUUACAAUUAUCAUAUAAAAGAAAAAUAAUUAUCUUAAAAUAAUUAUUAUUUUAGUUUUUUAAUUAAAUAUUUUUAUUUAUAUCUUUUAUAAUAUUAGUAAUAAAAAAUAAAAUUUAUAAAUAAAAUAAUGAUUACUGUUUUUUUUUAUCUAUUUAUUUUUAUUUUUAUUUGUGUAAAACAAUCUAGAGUAACUAUUAUUUUGAUGAGAAAGAAAUAUUAUAUUGGUAUCUAAUUUCUUUUUUUCUUGUUAUGAAAACAGAUUUCUUCGGAGAAAUAUUAUGUACGGUCAAAUGUCUUUCAUUGGAUAAACUUGCACUUGGAAAUAGAGGGCGAGGAUUGUCAACAUGAGAUCCAUUUACUUGACCUCAUCCUCUAUAGAGGACACAAGCUUUACAUCCUAUUCUUAACUUACCCUCGUCUCUUUGCUCUUUGACAAAGUUUAUAGACAAUUGGAAAAAAUAUGAAAUUAUUAGUUAAUAUUUAUUGGGAGUCAUAAUUUUUUUAGUCUUAUUUAUUUUAAUUACUUUCUACUCAUUGUGUUAUUUUUAAUAAAUUUUAGAUUAAAUUUCAUGGAUUUUCCUACAUUUGCUCAUAUUACAAUUAAUACUUCUCC
rnacentral:lncRNA from 1 species